rnacentral:rRNA from 1 species
UACGGAGGGUGCAACCGUUGCUCGGAAUCAUUGGGCGUAAAGCGCACGUAGGCGGUCCGUUAAGUCGGGAGUGAAAGCCCCAGGCUCAACUUGGGAAGUGCUUUCGAAACUGGCGGACUUGGAUACUGAAGAGGAUCGCGGAAUUCCCGGUGUAGAGGUGAAAUUCGUAGAUAUCGGGAGGAACACCAGCGGCGAAGGCGGCGAUCUGGGCAGAUAUUGACGCUGAGGUGCGAAAGCGUGGGGAGCAAACAGG